GCGGACGUGGUGGAAUUGGUAGACACGCUAGAUUUAGGUUCUAGUAUCGAAAGGUGUGAGAGUUCGAGUCUCUCCGUCCGCACCA
rnacentral:tRNA from 1 species